GAAUCCAGAGAUGGAUUUGUGCCUUCGGGAACUGUGAGACAGGUGCUGCAUGGCUGUCGUCAGCUCGUGUUGUGAAAUGUUGGGUUAAGUCCCGCAACGAGCGCAACCCUUAUCCUUUGUUGCCAGCGGUCCGGCCGGGAACUCAAAGGAGACUGCCAGUGAUAAACUGGAGGAAGGUGGGGAUGACGUCAAGUCAUCAUGGCCCUUACGACCAGGGCUACACACGUGCUACAAUGGCGCAUACAAAGAGAAGCGACCUCGCGAGAGCAAGCGGACCUCAUAAAGUGCGUCGUAGUCCGGAUUGGAGUCUGCAACUCGACUCCAUGAAGUCGGAAUCGCUAGUAAUCGUGGAUCAGAAUGCCACGGUGAAUACGUUCCCGGGCCUUGUACACACCGCCCGUCACACCAUGGGAGUGGGUUGCAAAAGAAGUAGGUAGCUUAACCUUCGGGAGGGCGCUUACCACUUUGUGAUUCAUGACUGGGGUGAAGUCGUAACAAGGUAACCGUAGGGGAACCUGC
rnacentral:rRNA from 2 species